GCAAGUCGAACGAUGAUCCCAGCUUGCUGGGGGAUUAGUGGCGAACGGGUGAGUAACACGUGAGUAACCUGCCCUUGACUCUGGGAUAAGCCUGGGAAACUGGGUCUAAUACCGGAUACGACCAUCUGGCGCAUGUCAUGGUGGUGGAAAGCUUUUGUGGUUUUGGAUGGACUCGCGGCCUAUCAGCUUGUUGGUGGGGUAAUGGCCUACCAAGGCGACGACGGGUAGCCGGCCUGAGAGGGUGACCGGCCACACUGGGACUGAGACACGGCCCAGACUCCUACGGGAGGCAGCAGUGGGGAAUAUUGCACAAUGGGCGCAAGCCUGAUGCAGCGACGCCGCGUGAGGGAUGACGGCCUUCGGGUUGUAAACCUCUUUCAGUAGGGAAGAAGCGUAAGUGACGGUACCUGCAGAAGAAGCGCCGGCUAACUACGUGCCAGCAGCCGCGGUAAUACGUAGGGCGCAAGCGUUAUCCGGAAUUAUUGGGCGUAAAGAGCUCGUAGGCGGUUUGUCGCGUCUGCUGUGAAAGACCGGGGCUCAACUCCGGUUCUGCAGUGGGUACGGGCAGACUAGAGUGCAGUAGGGGAGACUGGAAUUCCUGGUGUAGCGGUGAAAUGCGCAGAUAUCAGGAGGAACACCGAUGGCGAAGGCAGGUCUCUGGGCUGUAACUGACGCUGAGGAGCGAAAGCAUGGGGAGCGAACAGGAUUAGAUACCCUGGUAGUCCAUGCCGUAAACGUUGGGCACUAGGUGUGGGGGACAUUCCACGUUUUCCGCGCCGUAGCUAACGCAUUAAGUGCCCCGCCUGGGGAGUACGGCCGCAAGGCUAAAACUCAAAGGAAUUGACGGGGGCCCGCACAAGCGGCGGAGCAUGCGGAUUAAUUCGAUGCAACGCGAAGAACCUUACCAAGGCUUGACAUGAACCGGAAAGACCUGGAAACAGGUGCCCCGCUUGCGGUCGGUUUACAGGUGGUGCAUGGUUGUCGUCAGCUCGUGUCGUGAGAUGUUGGGUUAAGUCCC
rnacentral:rRNA from 1 species